UACGUAGGGCGCGAGCGUUGUCCGGAAUUAUUGGGCGUAAAGAGCUCGUAGGCGGCCUGUCGCGUCCGCUGUGAAAUCCCGGGGCUCAACCCCGGGCGUGCAGUGGAUACGGGCUGGCUGGAGGCAGGCAGGGGAGAACGGAAUUCCUGGUGUAGCGGUGAAAUGCGCAGAUAUCAGGAGGAACACCGGUGGCGAAGGCGGUUCUCUGGGCCUGUUCUGACGCUGAGGAGCGAAAGCGUGGGGAGCGAACAGG
rnacentral:rRNA from 1 species